rnacentral:rRNA from 1 species
CCUAAAGGGGUCAUUGCCGCUCACUUCGCCCUUUUCGGGUCGUGGCUUAGGGGGUCACAGUACGACCGCCCUGGACACCACACACCCUGCGGUGGUCAGCGCGUACAGCCGUGGCUUCAGGAGAACUAACUCCGAAGUGGGUCUCACCCACAUUCCGGAAACGACCACGAGCCGACGUGCCGGCGCUCGCAGAGUCCUCAGCCCAACAAACCCUUACGUCGGGUUUCACCCACCAUUUGAGGUAGAUUCCGAUUUAUGACCGUGCUCAGGCUAUCGCCUGUUCAUGGCACUCCCUUUCAACUUUUCUUGAAACUUCUCUCUCAWGUUCUCAUGCACUUUGGCGGGUCUCCAUUUGCCCACCUAGGCGUUUCAGCCGGGCGCCUUAAGUCGAGCCGCGCGCUGGACCCCGACCACGCCGAGCCCUAGGAGACCUGGGCAGGCACGGCAGCGUGGCCCAAGGCGGCACACGUGAAAGGCGCCCGUCUCGCGGUGCUGGCCGAAGCGCCGCCACUAUUCGGGCCCUCCUUCCAUCCAGACGUGGGGAGCCCCUCGCCUGACAAUAUCGGAGGGCACCACCCGACAGCGCCCCGGCUCCUUGCUGGCAGCGGAUACCGGAGGGCCAGAAGGCCCCCUCAAGCUGACCGUCCCUGACCCGUUGGCACGGACGGCUGGCGAAGAGACCUGGCUAGCCCGGCCGGGCCCACCGUAACCCAGACACCGCUUAGACAGCC